AUUGAACGCUGGCGGCAUGCUUUACACAUGCAAGUCGAACGGUAGCAGGCCGCAAGGUGCUGACGAGUGGCGAACGGGUGAGUAAUGCAUCGGAACGUGCCCAGUCGUGGGGGAUAACGCAGCGAAAGCUGCGCUAAUACCGCAUACGAUCUAUGGAUGAAAGCGGGGGACCGUAAGGCCUCGCGCGAUUGGAGCGGCCGAUGUCAGAUUAGGUAGUUGGUGGGGUAAAGGCUCACCAAGCCAACGAUCUGUAGCUGGUCUGAGAGGACGACCAGCCACACGGGGGCUGAGACACGGCCCAGACUCCUACGGGAGGCAGCAGUGGGGAAUUUUGGACAAUGGGCGCAAGCCUGAUCCAGCAAUGCCGCGUGCAGGAAGAAGGCCUUCGGGUUGUAAACUGCUUUUGUACGGAACGAAACGGCUCUCUCUAAUACAGGGGGUUAAUGACGGUACCGUAAGAAUAAGCACCGGCUAACUACGUGCCAGCCGCCGCAGUAAGAC
rnacentral:rRNA from 1 species